AUGCCACCUCCAUCCCAGAAUGCUCAGUUCUACCCCUUCAUAGUGAUGCAAGCCUCAGCCCAUGCUGACUCUUCCUGGUUGGAAUGGGUGUCCAUCUCUGCAGUCCAGGCUUCCCCCUUCUACCUGUCCAGUGUCUUCAGGGCCCCUCCUCUCCAUCCCCCAGUGCUCACCUCACAUCCCCAAGACCUUCUCAAGGCCAGAAACCUUGGCGUCAUCUUGUCCCUGAGCUAUUUUUUCCUCCUGUGUAUCCAAGUCAUUAUUACUGCUCCGUCUCCCCAGCCUGAAUUUCUGGAAGUCUGCCGCCCAUUCAGCCUCUCACUGCUCGCCUCAGCCAAAAGCCUCAGCAGACAUGCUUCCCUCACCACCCGGCACCCCUCCCACUCCUCGCCCACAGAUGGAUUGUAAUGCUCCACUCAGCCCCGGAGUUCCAGAUGGGAGUCAGGAAACUUGGGACAACCCCAAAGGCAAGGUGUGAAGCAGCAGCUGGGAUGGACAAUGUAUAGAAGCCAAGAAGAAAGGCCCGGAAGCCCCUCAACCCAGAGACAAAAGGAGGCACCAGGGCACUUUACCAGGUUUCCAUGUUUACCAAGACAUUGUCUCCAGGCGGUUUGCUUGUGUUCCCUGAGGGUACUACUAAGGUGUGUUGAUUGAAACUGAAUGGAAAAGAUUUCAGCUCAUAGAGGAUUGUUGGCUGAGUGUGUGAGGGGAGUGAAGGCCGAAAGAGAUGCUCAUGGUUAAAAGGUUCAUUAUAGUCCCCUUGUUCGAGGGCAGAUGUAUUUAAAACACCUGUUUGAACUCUUAUUAAUCUAGGAUGAUUUAAAUGUUUCCCCAAAAGACAAAGGACAGGCACGAUAGCUUGAGAACUCGUCCAGAUUUAGGAGGUUCACUUGCGCUUUCUGCUCACCCUGUCCAAAGCCUGUCUGUGGACCUUCAUCCUGGCUCAUGUUAGCUAAAAAAGACCCCAGACAGAGAGCCAGAGUAUGCAAGGCUCAGGGAGAGGGAGAUUUCAGUAGAGUGGUGUCAGUGAGGUCAGGAGGCUACAUCUAUGUGCCAAGCUGGACAAGUCACGGUAAGUGACCAACCCAAGUAGAGCAGAGUCAUGAGCUUAGUGUCAGAAAGGAGACAGGUCUAGCCCAUGUCACACCUGCAGUCAUGAGCUGAAAGCAGGUGGAAACUGCCUAGCAUGUGAAGGCCAGCAGAGGAAAGGUCUUCUCAGUGCCAGCAGGACGGGAGAAGACAGAAGAAUGGCAACAGAGCUCAUCCCCCUCCCCACAUCCGGCAUCCCCAGCAGAAGCUGGAACCUAGGAGGAAAGGGUUGCUGAGACAGACCUCCUGGGAGUAGGAAUUAGAUGUCAAGAGACUCUGUUGCAGUCAGAAAGGCCCGGGUGUUGCAGUGAUCCUGGGC
rnacentral:lncRNA from 1 species